rnacentral:rRNA from 1 species
UUACCACUUUGUGAUUCAUGACUGGGGUGAAGUCGUAACAAGGUAACCGUAGGGGAACCUGCGGUUGGAUCACCUCCUUACCUUAAAGA